rnacentral:rRNA from 1 species
UACGUAGGUCACGAGCGUUAUCCGGAAUUAUUGGGCGUAAAGGGUCUCUAGGUGGUAAAGCGGGUUUUCGGUAAAAGUCCCAAGCUCAACUUGGGUUUCGCCGAAAAAACUACUUUGCUUUGAGGGUAGCAGGGGUAUGCGGAAUUCUCGGUGUAGCAGUGAAAUGCGUUGAUAUCGAGAAGAACACCAAUGGCGCAGGCAGCAUACUAGGCUACACCUGACACUGAAGGACGAAAGCGUGGGGAGCGAACGGG